GUCUUGUGACCUCAUUCAACUCCCUAAAUCUUCAGAGGCUUUGAGGUGCUGGAACAUUGGCCAAGAAUUAGCGGGUCGGGUUCGAGCUGGCUAUAUGCUGGCCUGCCCAUUCCAAGCUAGGAGUUGAACCCUGUGGCUUGAGCGAAGGCUUGGGUCACUGGUUUUCUAGAGAGGAGGGAACCGAGUUAGGCUGGCUUUACAGAGCAACGACUACCUUCCUCUCUUGGCAGUGGAAGGAUUACAGGUCAGUGUCACUCGGAUUCGCCAUGGCCCGCUAGACUGACCCAAUAGAACCAAAACCUUU
rnacentral:SRP_RNA from 1 species